GGAGAAACAUGGAAAAAUGGGUCGUUAGUGGGUAUUUGUAUAUGGGUCUCUAAUAUGGAAAGCAGGCUUUAACUACGAUGAUCGUGUCGUUGGCUUCAUCAAAGGAUAUCGCCGUGUAUUUUACUAAGGCAGCACUGACCAUAGAGGCACAACAGAGUAUCCAGGAAGGAAUGUGACUUUAGAACCUGCUAAUGGGGAAGUCUGUUGGGGAGUUGCAUAUAAGAUUUCCAAGAAAGAAGAUCAAGAAGUAGCUCUGACGGUAUGGUUCUU